AAUUAACAAGGGUUUAGCAUCUGAACUAGAAAACCUGCCCGAAAAAUUGAGUACAUCAAACUUGGAACUGGAAGCAUUGCAGGAAGAGCUUUUGGCCCGGAAACAGAGCCUGGAAGAAUCUAAAUUUGAGCAGCGAAAGAUGGAAGGCUCCAUUAAAAUGUUCACUGAAGAAAAGGGAGACUUGGCGAUGCAACUUACAGAUUCCCUUUUGGAAAUGGAGGAGGAAAAAGCAAUAUGGUCAGCUAAGGAGAAGACUUCCGUUGAAGCCAUAGAAUAGAAGAGAAAUCAAAGUGUAAGGUGAGAAAUGAAUGGAGUCUUGAAGACGAGAAUGCAAGGUCCUUAGAGAAAGAUUAACUUCUUGUGAGGAAACGGC